rnacentral:lncRNA from 1 species
UGUUGACCAUAAUUUUUCCAUUGGAAUUUUGAUUGACCGGCAGUAAAUAGUGGUUGUAUAAUUAGGUAGACGAAAACCAACAUAAUAUAUAGGUAGGAAUGAGAAACAAGAUAUGGUAAAAUGACACUAAAAUGCAAAAUUAAAAAAUAAAAGAAUGAGGUAGAUAGGAAAAGAUUAUAUAAUUCGUCUGGUGGAAUUAAAAAGAAAUGAAAUAAAUAAAUAAAAUUCCCAAUCUGUAAAAAC